rnacentral:lncRNA from 10 species
UCAACAUGCUUUACAAUAGAUCUGAACUAAUUGCUUCUAUCUAGAUGAAAUAUUAUAAUUUUUGAAUAACAAUACUCAUCUCUUCACCUGACCCUACUAGAGGGUAGCCACAAUUCUACUCCCAAAAAUAUGAAAGACUUCACAUUUGAAUACCCUCCUGGCCCAGGGACAGUGUUAUUCUUCUCCAUACCAUUCUAAUUUUAGUGUAUAUGCUGCCCAAACUAGAAUUUUUAAGAAAAAAUUGUUGUGCGUAUUUCAUUCUAUUUUUGUUGGACAAAUGAAUGGACACUUACUGGUUUCAAUUAUUACAAACAGUGCUUUUUUAUACAUUCUUAUACAUGUACAAUGGAGAACAUUUAUAAGAAUUUCUGUGAAGCACACUCCCAGGAGAGGAAUUGAUACUUUAUGUAUGGUUUACUUAGGAAUUACUGAAAUGAA